AUUGAACGCUGGCGGCAGGCCUAACACAUGCAAGUCGAGCGGAUGAAGGGAGCUUGCUCCUGGAUUCAGCGGCGGACGGGUGAGUAAUGCCGAGGAAUCUGCCUGGUAGUGGGGGAUAACGUCCGGAAACGGGCGCUAAUACCGCAUACGUCCUGAGGGAGAAAGUGGGGGAUCUUCGGACCUCACGCUAUCAGAUGAGCCUAGGUCGGAUUAGCUAGUUGGGGGGUUAAAGGCCUACCAAGGCGACGAUCCGUAACUGGUCUGAGAGGAUGAUCAGUCACACUGGAACUGAGACACGGUCCAGACUCCUACGGGAGGCAGCAGUGGGGAAUAUUGGACAAUGGGCGAAAGCCUGAUCCAGCCAUGCCGCGUGUGUGAAGAAGGUCUUCGGAUUGUAAAGCACUUUAAGUUGGGAGGAAGGGCAGUAAGUUAAUACCUUGCUGUUUUGACGUUACCAACAGAAUAAGCACCGGCUAACUUCGUG
rnacentral:rRNA from 1 species